rnacentral:tRNA from 1 species
AUUCAAGUAGUUUAAUAUAAAAUUUUGAUUUGUGGAGUCAAGGAUAUAAAUUUUUAUCUUGGAUA